UCUAUCUAUUUUAAAGCAUUUUUUUUUCAUUUUUUUUCCGGAUGCUCGGCUUCCCUGUCACUGGAGAAUUGGGCCUGUUGAUCUUCUAGAGGCGACACCGGACCGUGGAGCACGCGGCAGUUGAACAUAUGAAGCUCGACGCGUCGGAUGCUCGGCUCGCUUGUCGCUGGAAAAUUCGGCUUGCUGAACGUCUCGAAGUGAACCGAUCGCCUUGGCAUGACCUCGCUACUGCCAUGUCAACAACGUCGGUACCUCAUCCAUAGUAUCAGUGCCUUGACAGCACCACAUCGACAGCGUUGGGCCCCUUCGCCAGCGGCGGCGCCUCGUCAGCAGUGUCAGUAACUCGACGGCAGCGGCGACCUCACCAGCAGCUUCGGCGCGUGGCUGACUGGGAUCGUUGAUGCGUUUUGAUCUUACGUACCCACAUUGCACGGCAGUUUCAGAUGAUAGAAUCAAACGAUGUUGGACGGAGGCCAGAAACACCCCGACGCGGCCGAUGGCGCUCCAGCCGCAGCCUCACACUCGGGCGUGAUCGCGACUCCAGUGGACGCAGCCGCAGUUACUGUCGGUGGUUGCAGGAUCGCGAAGAGGCGCUGAGGAAAGAACAGAAGCGUGUUUCUAAAAGGUCACAUAGCCAUCCUUUUUUCUAAAGACGUAGCUCAAAUAAUUAAGUCUAUUAAAGAUAUCUUUCCGUCACAGCCGAGCCAUAGCACACAAAUUUCGAAUAGAGAUAGCAAAAACAUUAUACCUGAGUUUAACCCUUCGGAGAAAAACCAGCGUAUGGAUAUUUGUUUAUAAAUGUCUCUUGCUAAUUUAUUGAUGAUGAACAAAUUUUAAUUAACGGUUAGCUUAUUAUAAUAUA